CAUAAAUGAAUUAAACCAGCAAGAUUCCUCAUGGCUUCUUCAGAAGACCCUAUUGCUCUGAUUAAGGAACUCCACCAGCAUUGGAGAAAAGGCUCUGCCUUUGCUUCCCAUUUUUUAGCUUUCAACACCUAACUGAAAAAGUCUCAGAAAGCUGAUGUAUCCAAGUUAAUCACCUCUGAAGAACUGCGGACUCACUGAGUACUAAACAAAACCUUCCUUCUAUGUGAGCCAAAAGUCAGAAAAAAAAAAAAACUGUUGUCAAACACCUGUAAAGAGAUGCCUAUCAUCAUAUGGAAAUUUGAAGAGCUUCUGUGUGGCACAUUCAUAAUCCAAAUGGGAGAGAAUCAACUGUCAUGAUGUCCCAGAAGGCCUUAUAACAGUAAACAAGAGGGAAAAGUUAUAAUAGCUUGUUAAUCGGUGCUUGCACAUUAGACUUGAGUGUGAUUACUAUAAAAAAAAUCCAAGGCAAAUAUGCAAAUACUUCUUUGAAAGUCUUCCAAAUUAUGUAAAGGCUCAGACCAAUGAAAACCAGUGAUGACACCGCAGGUAAUAGAACCAAAUGUUUUGUGGAUCUUCCUACCAGGAAUGUCAAUUUGGCCCAGUAUAUUGCCAUGAUGACCAUUGGCGAAUUGAUUGGGUUUGUCACUCCUCUUCUGAUUGUCCUAUAUUGUACCUGGAAGACAGUUUUAUCACUGCAUGAUAAAUAUCCUGUGGCCCAAGACCUUGGGGAGAAAAAGAAAGCCUUGAAGAUGAUUCUAACCUGUGCAGGAGUAUUCCUAAUUUGCUUUGCACCUUAUCACUUCAGUUUUCCUUUGGAUUUCCUGGUCAAGUCCAACAAAAUUCAAAGCUGCCUAACCAGAAGGGUGAUUCUAAUAUUUCAUUCAGUUGCUCUCUGUCUUGCUAGUAUGAAUUCCUGUCUUGACCCAGUCAUAUACUACUUCACCACUAAUGAGUUCAGAAGACGACUUUCAAGACAAGAUAGCAUCCAACUCCAUGCAAAAUCCUUUGUAAGCAACCAUACCACUGAAUUAUGCUAAAUUAAAACAAAACCUGAAUGUUAUCUGAAAUGCAAGUAUAUCAGAAGGUAUUUGUAAUAUCACAAGCCACUGGAAAGUAAUCACAGGGAGCACUGACGACUUUUCAGUUAUGCUCUAUUUUACCUAUAUGAGGAAGCUGUUUAAAGCACUGUAUUCCACCAUCACAUGUUGACAUGUCCAUGUAAUAAUUUGUUAUCAAGUCAGGAAUUAAACUGUAAAACUUCAGUGGCAUUCUAUAUAUAUGUACUCAGAGUCAUCAGUUUUAUGUGAACCUAAGACACAGGAGACUAUCAGCUUGGGCUCAUCAUAAGCACUUAGUUUUGCUGCAAUGGACACUGAGUCUCUGUAUUUAGAGGCAAUGUAGUUUGUCUUUUUAUACUAGUAGCCACAGUUUAUAUUCAAACAUCAUAUUUUGAUUGUAUUUUAAGUAGGAUGGACAAUAUAUUAUUCUGUGAAAAGAAAGUGGUAUAAACAUGGGAUCAUUUUUAUCUCCCAUGUGUGAUUAUAAUCCAGGAUUUGAAGACUCAAAUAACUAUUUCCUUCAUUUAACUGUCAAUAUGAAACAUCAUCUAUCACACCUGUUCAUAAAAUGAAAAUCUGAACUCAGGCCUCUGUUAUAUUUAAAGUAAUAACAAGAAAUACAUUCACAUACAGUAACCUCUAUGGCCUGUAUAAGAUGUCAUACUGAAUCCACCCAAGCCAAAUAGUUCACCAAAGAACAUACAAUGUGACCCAAAUUGUCUCUAUAGGUCCAGGAGACAGCAGAUAAGUGAUAAUCACAGUUCCAGUACUCUUAAACUAUUUCCAAAGAAUAUGUAAUGAAAUAUAUGGACCUGAAUAAUACAAAGAGUUUUUACCAUGCUCCUAGAGUAACAUUGACUAUCUCUGACAGGUUACUGCACUUUUUGAGCCUAUGAAAGAAGCAGUGCACUAAUUAAUUACUAAGCUUAGGCCAGAGAAAAAAGAUGAAGAGAUGGGUACACCUUUUAAAAGCCUCACCAUUCUGUAUUUAUUUCUUUAAUUUAAGUGGCAACUGUCAAGUCACCUUCAUGGACUGAAGGCAGCUAGGCAUGUGGACCAUUGAAAUUUGUGGACCUUCAGAAAUUUUUCUGGUCCAGCUUUACCCGAGUCAUACCAUUGUGAGUCAUGCACAGCCUACCUCCUAGCAGCUAUGGAAGGAAAUUCUUUCACAUUUUGGGAGAAAAAAAACUGCAAAAGAUUAAUUUUGGCAGCAUUGGACUCCCCUUACAGUUAUUUAUCUGCUACCUGUAGCAGUAUACUAGUACUAGUUUGGUACUAGUAUGCAAGUAGCAGACCCAAGAUAUGAUUCAUAAUUAAAUCUGAGAUCUAAAAUAUUACAGUACUUUGAAACAUGUUUUUGCAAAAUGCUCUAAUUUAAAACAAUGAUCUACAUAAAAUCUGUGUGCUAUAUAAUAAAGAUACAUGCUACUUCUCA
rnacentral:lncRNA from 12 species